rnacentral:rRNA from 1 species
UGGGGAAUAUUGCACAAUGGGCGAAAGCCUGAUGCAGCGACGCCGCGUGAGGGAUGACGGCCUUCGGGUUGUAAACCUCUUUCAGCAGGGAAGAAGCGAAAGUGACGGUACCUGCAGAAGAAGCGCCGGCUAACUACGUGCCAGCAGCCGCGGUAAUACGUAGGGCGCAAGCGUUGUCCGGAAUUAUUGGGCGUAAAGAGCUCGUAGGCGGUUAGUCGCGUCUGCUGUGAAAACUCGAGGCUCAACCUCGGGGUUGCAGUGGGUACGGGCUGACUAGAGUGCGGUAGGGGUGACUGGAAUUCCUGGUGUAGCGGUGGAAUGCGCAGAUAUCAGGAGGAACACCGAUGGCGAAGGCAGGUCACUGGGCCGCAACUGACGCUGAGGAGCGAAAGCAUGGGGAGCGAACAGGAUUAGAUAGCCCUGGUAGUCCAUGCCGUAAACGUUGGGCACUAGGUGUGGGGUCCAUUCCACGGAUUCCGUGCCGCAGCAAAGCGCAUUAAGUGCCCCGCCUGGGGAGUACGGCCGCAAGGCUAAAACUUAAAGGAAUUG